GAUUUUGGCUCCUCUUCGCGCCUUCCUUUGAUGUCGGGGUUUGUUUGAGGAGAGGAGGCGUUUUUAUGGGCUUCCUUCAAACUUGCAUGACUUUCCAUUGGAGGCCAGGGGAUGAGAUGGGGGAGAGCAAACCAACCCCUGCCCUGAACCCCUGAGGCCCUCGGCCCAAGCCGCAGGAGCUGCAGGUGAGCCAGAUAGCACGUCCUCAGAAACUGAAGGAAAACCAACUGGAUACUUUCUUGAGGGGAAACAAUUCUGAGAUUGAAGGGACCCAUCAGGAGGAAGUCCUGCCAGCAUCUGUGCUUAUUUCAAGAGGAAACUGCAUGUUGGAGGAACUGCGGAGGGCUCAGCAUCUGAUGAUGGAUUUAUUGCACCAGCAUCUCCCCAUUGUAGCAGCUCGUCCACGUAAGUGAGGUGAUCCCAAGGACAUCUCUCUGGGUGAUGACUGGGAGACACUGUGAAAAACAAAUUUCCUGACUUGUUUGAAAUCAUCGUCUGGAUGGAAACUGUGCCCUUUCUCUCGAGAAGGAAGGAUUUGUAUCUCUUGUGGUUUCCAGUGCUCACAUCUUUUCCUGGCAGUCAUCAAGGUCCAGGUUUUUAACUCUGACAUCUGAGACUUAUUGGGUAGAGGUGAAUAGUUGGAAAUGUUAGGACUAAAUCUUUUUCUUUAAUUUUAUUUUUAAGAUGAUAACAUGCAUAUCUAUAAAAAAGGUCCAUCUACAAGGCUACUUUCCGGCAUUGCCCCAGGCAACCCUGUGAUUGAUUCUCUUCUUCCCAAGAAGGGCUAUUAGGAGUGAGAAGAAUUGAGAACGUGGGGGAGCAGGAAGAAAUGUUAGGUGGCUGCUCAGAAUAGACACCAGACUUACAAGGCAGUGCUUCCACAUCUCUCGGCUCUCUUCCUAACCACUGAGUAGAUACAGAAAGACCAAAGACGUAACCUGUUCUGCAGACUUUGGCAAGUGGCAGGAAGUCUUCCACUCAGGACCAAAACUUGUGUGUACAGGUUCCCAAACGUCAGCUCAACAUUAGCCCUAAGCUAAGAAGGAAUAAAAAGAUAAAAGCCCUUUUGCUUUUCA
rnacentral:lncRNA from 1 species